rnacentral:rRNA from 1 species
GAUGAACGCUAGCGGCAGGCCUAAUACAUGCAAGUCGAACGGUAACAGGUCCAGCAAUGGAUGCUGACGAGUGGCGCACGGGUGCGUAACGCGUAUGCAAUCUACCUUUAACUGGUGAAUAGCCCGAAGAAAUUCGGAUUAACACCCCAUAGUAUAUUAGAGUAGCAUUACUCAAAUAUUAAAACUCCGGUGAUUAAAGAUGAGCAUGCGUGACAUUAGCUAGUUGGUGAGGUAAUGGCUCACCAAGGCAACGAUGGCUAGGGGAUCUGAGGGGAUUAACCCCCACAAUGGUACUGAGACACGGACCAGACUCCUACGGGAGGCAGCAGUAAGGAAUAUUGGACAAUGGUCGCAAGACUGAUCCAGCCAUGCCGCGUGAAGGAUGACGGCCCUAUGGGUUGUAAACUUCUUUUGUAUGGGAAAAAACCUCUCUACGUGUAGAGAGCUGAUGGUACCAUAAGAAUAAGGAUCGGCUAACUCCGUGCCAGCAGCCGCCGUAACAC